rnacentral:rRNA from 1 species
AUUGAACGCUGGCGGCAUGCCUUACACAUGCAAGUCGAACGGUAACAGAUCUUCGGAUGCUGACGAGUGGCGAACGGGUGAGUAAUACAUCGGAACGUGCCUAGUAGUGGGGGAUAACUACUCGAAAGAGUGGCUAAUACCGCAUGAGAUCUACGGAUGAAAGCAGGGGAUUGCAAGACCUUGUGCUACUAGAGCGGCCGAUGGCAGAUUAGGUAGUUGGUGGGAUAAAAGCUUACCAAGCCGACGAUCUGUAGCUGGUCUGAGAGGACGAUCAGCCACUCUGGGACUGAGACACGGCCCAGACUCCUACGGGCGGCAGCAGUGGGUAAUUUUGGACCAUGUGCGCAAGCCUGAUCCAGCAAUGCCGCGUGCAGGAUGAAGGCCUUCGGGUUGUAAACUGCUUUUGUACGGAACGAAAAGCCCUGGGUUAAUACCCUGGGGUCAUGACGGUACCGUAAGAAUAAGCACCGGCUAACUACGUGCCAGCCGCCGCAGUAACAC